rnacentral:rRNA from 1 species
UACGUAGGGUGCAAGCGUGGUCCGGAAUUAUUGGGCGUAAAGGGCUCGUAGGCGGCCAACUAAGUCAGACGUGAAAUCCCUCGGCUUAACCGGGGAACUGCGUCUGAUACUGGAUGGCUUGAGUUUGGGAGAGGGAUGCGGAAUUCCAGGUGUAGCGGUGAAAUGCGUAGAUAUCUGGAGGAACACCGGUGGCGAAGGCGGCAUCCUGGACCAACACUGACGCUGAGUGAGCGAAAGCCAGGGGAGCAAACGGG